AGCUGCGAAGGUUUAACUCUCCAUGGCUUUUGGCAAAAGCUGUGGGACAGAUUGUUAGAACCAUUCACUACGUCCAUGCCUGAGACAAAGGUGAAAGGAUGCAGGAAUCUGUAGUACAUUGCACAGAGAUGGAGACCUGAGACAGAAACUUCUGAACUUCCAUCGGGAAAGAUCAAAUGCGUGAGCCUUCAGAGCUCCGCAGCAGACAGGCCCGAGCUGAAGAGAGGAGAGAGAGAUGCUGGCCUGACAGCUCUGCGGGGCCUCUUCACUGACCCUGAGAGACUUACUCAACAGUGCAGCAGGAGCCUGCUGACUCACACUGGGUAAAGUUGACUUAAAAAGACCCCAUCUGGCCUGGUAGUGGUGGUGCACGCCUUUAAUCCCAGCACUUGGGAGGCAGAGGCAGGUGGAUUUCUGAGUUUGAGGCUAGCCUGGUCUACAAGAGUGAGUUCCAGGACAGCCAGGGCUACACAGAAACCCUGUCUCGGAAAACCAAAACCAAAAAACAACGACAACAAAAGACCUCAUCUGGAUCAGUCCUCUUCCUAUUUCAAGUGUACAGACAUUGUUUUCAAUUCUCUACCAGUGGUCAACAGUUUAGUUAUCCGGAGUCUUGUUUUGCUCCAAGCCCCUGUGAUUUUUGUCCUACACCUGCAUUCUGUUCGGUAGCCAUCACUUCAGAGAAAAUUGUACAGAGCCAAAUAGGAAUGGCAGGCUAUUUAGGGGGUAGUAAGGGAAUAGAAUUCAUGGGACACUCAUAAGUAUAAACUGUGUUAAAGAUGAAUGUGAGUUUAAGCCACCAAAUCUGCCAACUAAAACAAAAUCCUUGAUCCCCGUGAGUUCGUCAUGCCUGCCCAAUGAAUGAACACAUUUCAGUCUUUUGCCAUCAGAAUAUAGACACCACUUGCUGGAGCUAUGCAGACUGAUGGAGAAAACUUGGCUAGAGCUUAGAGGACCUGACACCCAUCAAACCAGGCUUCCUCCCAAGGUCAGGGCAUGUGACCUCAGACCCAGCCUGGUAGCUGGAGAAGCAUCCUCUAAACCCAGCUCUUGCUUUUCCAGCAGCAGUGAAGUUGCAAAAGGGAGCUUCCAAAAGUGGAAACAUUUUCAAAUAAGUCUUUUAACUUUUCGCCUGUGGAUACAGCUGCGUUGACACAAAGCCACGUUUGAGGCAUGAUGUCUCGGAAGCCUGGCACCGCGGAGUGUUUUUCUACUGGGACCCAUAAUUGUUGGCUUUUAAGAGUGGUCCUGUGUUCGGUUUUAUCAAUGUGGUACUUGAACUGGACUUUCAGCUGACCUCCAAAAGGAAAUAGUUUUAAAAGGAAGAAUUUUAAGUCUGCCAAAAGCCAGAUAAUGGCACAGCACAGAAAAAAAGCCAGCGUUCUGUGGUUUUUAUAUUAAAAUACGAGUCUCUUAAUGCCUCAAAACAGCGGCCAGAAAAUGCGAAGUUUAAUACAUGAGGCUCGAAGAAGCCGUUUUAAUGAGCUUUAGUUUUCGCUUUGUUCUUUGUGAUUCCCCCAGAAGGGGCAAGCAUCUCCCUCCUGGUCCUCCUCCGCCAUCUAUUUUUGCUUUUAUACAAAUGGCUGUUUUCAUUAAAGCAAUUUCAAAAUAUACUGAAAACAGCCAUGCCCAACUCCAGGCCUCGUACUUUGAGGAGUUUUCAGCUGCAGUCUCUGCAAAAUAUCUUGAGGAGUAAAGCCACCAGUAUCCGGCUCGUCCAGCAUCGUGAGUUACUGGUCCCAUGAAGACUCCUCACUUCCCCUUGCUUUAGCUGAGCCACAUUCCUGCACUUUGGUUUUGCUAGGUGACAGUGUUUUCACCUUUUCAUGAGGGGCCACGUGAGAAGCCAACACCUAUAGACAAGGUGCGGCGAUUAGAUUGGGCUACUUAGCAUUUCUACUUCCUCACUAGGUACUUUGAAAUAUCCCAGCCUGAAAGUGGAAUCUGUGGUAGAGCAUGUGCUUAGCAUGCACAGAACUCUGGCUGCAAGAGCUAGUACAAGAAAGAAAGGAAGGGGAGGGGGCGAAGUUUCCCAUAGCCCUAGGGAACAUUGAAAUAAACUCUGCCUUUGUGACUAUGU
ensembl:processed_transcript BC039771 cDNA sequence BC039771